ensembl:lncRNA
CUGGGCUUGGGCUUCUGGUUUGUGGAGGAAUAGGUGGAUGCAGCUGGUUGGAACACACAGUGCGCCUGUGUAGCAGAAGUGCUAAGUCAUGGCUUGAAGCAGUGAUGGAGCACCUGGCUGGUGGGAAGGUAGGGCCAACCCAGGGGAACUCAGGUGUAUGCAAUGAGUCUGAGUGACUGGAAGGGCUGGGGCCAGGAUCCACCCCUUCCCAGACCUCAUUUAAGGGUUCCCAGUGGAGGUGAGGGGCUCUUGAUGGGGACUCCUGUCUACCUGAGGCCUUCUAAAGUCUUUAAACAGUACUACAAGAUAGUGAAAAUACCCUGCAGAACCCCUCCAUGGAUAGCAGCCUCACAGUACAACUGCAGCAUCCACAAGUGGGAGGACGUGGAGGGCCCAAGUCAGAGAUCAAGUCAUACUAACACAUAUUUCUUCCCUUUGGAUUGCAAGUCAACCAGCCUGCAACUCUGCCACCUUAAGAUAGCUUCAGAAAACUGCAGGCUCCUGCUGGCCAGACUAGCCCUGACGCCUCCUCCAUCCUCUAUCUCCAACUUCCAUCUCCAUCCUUCACCCUGCGUCCUCCUGACGAUCCCAGAGCACAGAGCAGGAGCACAACCUGCUGAUGACAACUGGUUUUCCUGCAGAACUAUCAGUGGUUUGGAUGAUGAGUUUCCUCCUGAAAGGACCUGGUCCUUUUGGUGCCAGGACCAGGUGACACCGAUGGCUCUGCAGAUUUCUCCACCAUUUUCCUCCUUGUAGAUCCCAGCUGGCUCUGUGGAGGAGCCUCGUCUUGAGCACUGGAUGAAGGACAUAAAGAGAGGGCAAGAGAUGUGAGGAGCAGCUGAGACCCCUUCAUUUGUUUGGCUCAGAGAAGAGGAGGCUGAGGGGAGGCCUUGUGGUGCCCAGCAGCUCUUCGUGGCCCUGCAGCUCCUCAUGGUGACCCUACAUCUCCUUCAUGGCAGCCCAACAGCUCCUUCAUGGCAGCCCAAAAGCUCCUCAUGGUGUCCCUACAUCUAUUUCAUAGCAGCCCUACAGCUCCUCAUGGAGGAAAGCAAGAGCUGUGUGGCCACAGCCCUACCACGGAUGGCCCUGCCAGCCUUCCCAUGAAGUGCCUACCCC